rnacentral:rRNA from 1 species
AUUGAACGCUGGCGGCAUGCCUUACACAUGCAAGUCGAACGGCAGCACGGACUUCGGUCUGGUGGCGAGUGGCGAACGGGUGAGUAAUGUAUCGGAACGUACCUUUCAGUGGGGGAUAACGUAGCGAAAGUUACGCUAAUACCGCAUAUUCUGUGAGCAGGAAAGCAGGGGAUCGAAAGACCUUGCGCUGAUUGAGCGGCCGAUAUCAGAUUAGCUAGUUGGUGGGGUAAAGGCCUACCAAGGCGACGAUCUGUAGCGGGUCUGAGAGGAUGAUCCGCCACACUGGAAAUGGGACACGGUCCAGCCCCCUACGGGGGGCAGCAGGGGGGAAUUUUGGAAAAGGGGGGAAACCCUGACCCCGCCAGGCCGGGGGGGUGAAGAAGGCCUGGGGGUUGUAAAGCCCUUUCGGCGGGAAAAAAAUCGCAUAGGCUAAAACCCUGUGGGGAGGACGGUACCGGAAUAAGAAGCACCGGCUAACUACGU